rnacentral:rRNA from 1 species
ACGAACGCUGGCGGCGUGCUUAACACAUGCAAGUCGAACGGUGAAGCGCCUUCCUUUUUGGUGGGUGUGGAUGGGCGGCGAACGGGUGAGUAACACGUGAGUAACCUGCCCCCUUCUUCUGGAUAACCGCAUGAAAGUGUGGCUAAUACGGGAUAUUCUGGGUCUGUCGCAUGAUGGGUCUGGGAAAGAUAUUGUUUCGGUGGGGGAUGGGCUCGCGGCCUAUCAGCUUGUUGGUGGGGUGAUGGCCUACCAAGGCGGUGACGGGUAGCCGGCCUGAGAGGGUGGACGGUCACACUGGGACUGAGACACGGCCCAGACUCCUACGGGAGGCAGCAGUGGGGAAUAUUGCACAAUGGGCGCAAGCCUGAUGCAGCGACGCCGCGUGAGGGAUGGAGGCCUUCGGGUUGUGAACCUCUUUCGCCAGUGAAGCAGGCCUGCCUCGUUUGUGGGUGGGUUGACGGUAGCUGGAUAAGAAGCGCCGGCUAACUACGUG